rnacentral:piRNA from 1 species
UAGUGUAUGCCCUGGGUGCAAAGAACCUC